CCUACGGGAGGCAGCAGUGGGGAAUAUUGGGCAAUGGGCGCAAGCCUGACCCAGCAACGCCGCGUGAAGGAAGAAGGCUUUCGGGUUGUAAACUUCUUUUGUCAGGGACGAAGCAAGUGACGGUAACUGACUAAUAAGCCACGGCUAACUACGCCCCAGCCGCCGCGGUAAUACGUAGGUGGCAAGUGUUAUCCGGAUUUACUGGGUGUAAAGGGCGUGUAGGCGGGACUGCAAGUCAGAUGUGAAAACCACGGGCUCAACCUGUGGCCUGCAUUUGAAACUGUAGUUCUGGAGUACGGGAGAGGCAGACGGAAUGCCUGGUGUAGCGGUGAAAUGCGUAGAUAUUAGGAGGAACACCCGUGGCGAAGGCGAUCUGCUGGACCACAACUGACGCUGAGGCGCGAAAGCGUGGGGAGCAAACAGGAUUAGAUACCCUAGUAGUC
rnacentral:rRNA from 1 species